rnacentral:rRNA from 1 species
AAUCAACGCUGGCGGCGUGCCUAACACAUGCAAGUCGAACGCGAAAGUGGAGCAAUCCAUGAGUAGAGUGGCAAACGGGUGAGUAACACGUGGGUGACCUGCCUUAGAGUGGGGGAUAACGUCCCGAAAGGGACGCUAAUACCGCAUAACAUGCUGCCUUUUAAGAGGUGGACAUCAAAGCCGGGGACCGCAAGGCCUGGCGCUUAAAGAGGGGCCCGCGCCUGAUUAGCUAGUUGGUGGGGUAAUGGCUCACCAAGGCAACGAUCAGUAUCCGGCCUGAGAGGGCGGACGGACACACUGGGACUGAGACACGGCCCAGACUCCUACGGGAGGCAGCAGUGGGGAAUUGUUCGCAAUGGGCGCAAGCCUGACGACGCAACGCCGCGUGGAGGAUGAAGAUCUUCGGGUCGUAAACUCCUUUCGAUCGAGACGAAUGGCCCUUGGGCUAAUACCCUGAGGGAGUGACGGUACCGAGAGAAGAAGCCCCGGCUAACUCCGUGCCAGCAGCCG